rnacentral:rRNA from 1 species
UACAGAGGGUGCUAGCGUUGUUCGGAAUCAUUGGGCGUAAAGGGCGUGUAGGCGGUUUGCUAAGUCAUGUGUGAAAUCCCUCGGCUUAACCGGGGAACUGCGUCUGAUACUAGAUGGGCUUAGUUUGGGAGAGGGACGCGGAAUUCCAGGUGUAGCGGUGAAAUGCGUAGAUAUCUGGAGGAACACCGGUGGCGAAGGCGGCGUCCUGGACCAAUAUGACACUGAUGAGCGAAAGGCCAGGGGAGCAAACGGG